CACAUAGGAGGUCCUGCCUGCCCAGUGACAACAAUUUAACGGCCGCGGUAUCCUGACCGUGCAAAGGUAGCGCAAUCACUUGUCUUUUAAAUAAGGACCUGUAUGAAUGGCAAAACGAGGGCUUAACUGUCUCCCUUUUCAAGUCAGUGAAAUUGACCUGCCCGUGCAGAUGCGGACAUGAUAAUACAAGACGAGAAGACCCUUUGGAGCUUAAGACACAAGCCAAUUAUGUUAAUAGCCUAAAUACCUAGACUAAACUAUACCACUGGCCCCAGUCUUCGGUUGGGGCGACCACGGAGCAAAAUAAAACCUCCAUGAGGAUAGGGAAUACCCUAAAACCAAGAGAGACAUCUCCAAGCCACAGAACAUCUGACCAUAUGAUCCGGCCUCCCGGCCGAUCAACGAACCAAGUUACCCUAGGGAUAACAGCGCAAUCCCCUUCCAGAGUCCCUAUCGACAAGGGGGUUUACGACCUCGAUGUUGGAUCAGGACAUCCUAAUGGUGCAGCCGCUAUUAAGGGUUCGUUUGUUCAACGAUUAAAGUCCUACGUGA
rnacentral:rRNA from 1 species